UGGCGUGCCCGGGUCUGUGUGCGCCGUGCUGGGAGCUGCUGUUCCCCUGCCUCGCUCUGCGGCCUCCCGGUGUGCCUUCGGCACGCUGCCCUGGGUGUGAGGGUCGCAGCUGGGACGGGGUCCGCACUGUGCCCAGGGGCCACCGCAGCAGGGCCAUAUGUGGGAUUAUGUGGGUGCUGAGUGCUUUUUGUGUGUGUUUUGAGGCAUAGAAUCUGCGUUUAGGUUGGAAAGGAUUUUUAAAGCUCAUCUACUCUAAUCCCUCUGCAAUAAGCAGGAGAGCAGGAACGUCUUCAACUCGGUCAGGUUGCUCUGAGCCCUGUGUGUCCUGACCUUGAAUGUUUCUGGUACGGGGCAUCCACCCAACCACCCCUCUGGGCAACCUGUGACCUUCCCUGCAAAAACUUCUUCUUUACCUCUAGUCUGGAUCUCCCCUCUUUCAGUUUAAAACCGUAACCCCUUGUCCUGUCACUACAGGCCCUGCCACAAAGUCCGUACCCGUGUUUUUUACAGGCCCCCUUUAGGCACUGGAAGCUGCUGUGAGGUGUCCCCCCCCCCCGUUCUCUCAGCCUGUCUCCACAGGAGAGGUGCUCCAGCCCUCAGAACAUCUUCGUGUCCCUCCUGCGGGCUGGCUCCAGCGGGAGACGCUCUGCCUCGGGUUUGCGAGCUCCUCCGUCCAAUUUGGACACAGAAACCUUUGAAAGAGAAGCUGGAAUUCGUGUGCGAGAGUCGUGUCCGCAGCUGUAAGGAACACGCUGAGGCAGUCGGCCACCGAACAGCAAGGGAGUUUGCUGAGGACCUUUUCCCGGGGUUCUUGCCUAUCGAGUGAUGUGUUUAGACAUCGAGACAGGAGCUGGAACAACACUCAGACUGAAAGUGUGCUUGAGUUCAGAAUUUAAGACAAAAUGAAGCUAUGGGAAGCUGCUGUCCUUGACUAAAAUCAGUCACAACCUUUUAGCUUAUAUGCUUUAGACCACAACUGACUCUUCGUCCCUCUCCCCCUCUUCUGUCCAGGAAGAAGAAAUGCAAUAAAAACCCGACUUUUAUGUUUUUGAGUUGAAAGCUUUCUGUUCUUAACUAUGGUCUUAGAAUGGUUUCGUUUCAUAUGCUUGCUGUUUUCGUUUUGUCACUGUGGUACAUCCAUGUAAAAAAAGGUCUGUCAUUGCUUCAUGCUCUGCAUCGUACCAGAAAACAUCAUAUGGUAAUCGUGUGCAAGCCCAAAAAACUUUAGUAAAUCAGU